UUAAGUGACUAAGCGUACACGGUGGAUGCCUUGGCAGUUGGAGGCGAUGAAGGACGUACUAACUUGCGAUAAGCCUAGUCAAGCCAGGAAGAGGCGCUUGAGACUACGUUUUCCGAAUGGGGAAACCCACCUGCUUGCAGGUAUCGUUAACUGAAUACAUAGGUUAACGAGGCGAACGCGGAGAACUGAAACAUCUAAGUACCCGUAGGAAAAGAAAUCAACCGAGAUUCCGAAAGUAGCGGCGAGCGAAAUCGGACCAGCCCUUAAGCUUUAGUGUAGUUAGUGGAACAUGCUGGAAAGCAUGACGAAACAGGGUGAUAGUCCCGUACACAAAAACUUAUCUAAAGUGAAAUCGAGUAGGUCGGAGCACGUGAAACUUUGACUGAAUAUGGGGGGACCAUCCUCCAAGGCUAAAUACUCCCAACUGACCGAUAGUGAACCAGUACCGUGAGGGAAAGGCGAAAAGAACCCCUGUGAGGGGAGUGAAAUAGAACCUGAAACCGUGUACGUACAAGCAGUAGGAGCCUACUUGUUGGGUGACUGCGUACCUUUUGUAUAAUGGGUCAGCGACUUAUAUUCUGUAGCGAGGUUAACCAUUUAGGGGAGCCGUAGCGAAAGCGAGUCUUAACUGGGCGCUUAAGUUGCAGGGUAUAGACCCGAAACCCGGUGAUCUAGCCAUGGGCAGGUUGAAGGUUGAGUAACAUCAACUGGAGGACCGAACCCACUAACGUUGAAAAGUUAGGGGAUGACCUGUGGCUAGGAGUGAAAGGCUAAUCAAACCGGGAGAUAGCUGGUUCUCCCCGAAAUCUAUUUAGGUAGAGCCUCGGACGAAUACUUACGGGGGUAGAGCACUGUUAAGGCUAGGGGGUCAUCCCGACUUACCAACCCUUUGCAAACUCCGAAUACCGUAAAGUAAUAUCCGGGAGACACACGGCGGGUGCUAACGUCCGUCGUGGAGAGGGAAACAACCCAGACCGUCAGCUAAGGUCCCAAAGUGUAUGUUAAGUGGGAAACGAUGUGGGAAGGCUAAAACAGCUAGGAGGUUGGCUUAGAAGCAGCCACCCUUUAAAGAAAGCGUAAUAGCUCACUAGUCGAGUCGGCCUGCGCGGAAGAUGUAACGGGGCUAAACAUACCACCGAAGCUACGGCUGCAGACUUUGUCUGCGGGGUAGGGGAGCGUUCUGUAAGUGGCUGAAGGUGUGCCGGGAGGCAUGCUGGAACUUUGUUCGCGGGGUAGGGGAGCGUUCUGUAAGUGGCUGAAGGUGUGCCGGGAGGCAUGCUGGACAUAUCAGAAGUGCGAAUGCUGACAUGAGUAACGACAAGAGGAGUGAAAAACUCCUCCGCCGGAAGACCAAGGGUUCCUAUCCCAUGUUAAUCAGGGUAGGGUGAGUCGACCCCUAAGGCGAGGCUGAAGAGCGUAGUCGAUGGGAAACGGGUUAAUAUUCCCGUACUCGGUAUGAAUGCGAUGGGGGGACGGAGCAGGCUAGGCAAGCAUGGCGUUGGUUGUCCAUGUGAAAGGCUGUAGGCUGGUGACUUAGGAAAAUCCGGGUUGCUAAGGCUGAGAGUCGAGACGAGCCACUAAGGUGGUGAAGUUGUUGAUGCCCUACUUCCAGGAAAAGCCUCUAAGCUUCAGUUCAUACUGAAUCGUACCCUAAACCGACACAGGUGGUCAGGUAGAGAAUACUAAGGCGCUUGAGAGAACUCGGGUGAAGGAACUAGGCAAAAUUGUACCGUAACUUCGGGAGAAGGUACGCUCUUGUUUGUGAAGGACUUGCUCUGUAAGCAAACGAGAGCCGCAGUGACCAGGUGGCUGGGACUGUUUAUUAAAAACACAGCACUGUGCAAAAUCGUAAGAUGACGUAUACGGUGUGACACCUGCCCGGUGCCGGAAGGUUAAUUGAUGGGGUUAGCUUAGGCGAAGCUCUUGAUCGAAGCCCCGGUAAACGGCGGCCGUAACUAUAACGGUCCUAAGGUAGCGAAAUUCCUUGUCGGGUAAGUUCCGACCUGCACGAAUGGUGUAACCAUGGCCACGCUGUCUCCACCCGAGACUCAGUGAAAUUGAAAUCGCAGUGAAGAUGCUGUGUACCCGCGGCUAGACGGAAAGACCCCGUGAACCUUUACUACAGCUUGGCACUGAACAUUGACCCUACAUGUGUAGGAUAGGUGGGAGGCUUUGAAGCAGAGACGCUAGUUUCUGUGGAGCCGACCUUGAAAUACCACCCUUGUAGUGUUGAUGUUCUAACUUAGGCCCCUGAAUCGGGGUUGAGGACAGUGCCUGGUGGGUAGUUUGACUGGGGCGGUCUCCUCCCAAAGAGUAACGGAGGAGCACGAAGGUUUGCUAAGUACGGUCGGACAUCGUACGGUUAGUGUAAUGGUAGAAGCAAGCUUAACUGCGAGACAGACACGUCGAGCAGGUACGAAAGUAGGUCAUAGUGAUCCGGUGGUUCUGAAUGGAAGGGCCAUCGCUCAACGGAUAAAAGGUACUCCGGGGAUAACAGGCUGAUACCGCCCAAGAGUUCAUAUCGACGGCGGUGUUUGGCACCUCGAUGUCGGCUCAUCACAUCCUGGGGCUGAAGUCGGUCCCAAGGGUAUGGCUG
rnacentral:rRNA from 1 species